GACGAACGCUGGCGGCGUGCUUAACACAUGCAAGUCGAACGGACACUUCCUGCUUUUUUGCGGUGCUCGAGUGACGAACGGGUGACUAACACGUUAGUAACCUGCCCCUGACUUUGGGAUAACUUCAUGACACUUGUGCUAUUACCGGAUAGGAGCUCUUGCUGCUAGAUGGGCGUUGGACUGUUUCGGCGGUUGGUGAUGGACUCGCGGCUUAUCAGCUUGUUGGUGGGGUAGUGGAUUACCAAGGCUUUGACGGGUAGCCGGGCUGGUAGGGUGACCGGACAAAUUGGGAUUGAGAUAAGGCCCAGACUCGUACGCGAGGCAGGAGUGGAGAAGAGUACCUAAUGGGAGGAAGCCUAGUGUAACGAAGCCGCGUGGGGGAUAACGGGCUGCGGGUUGGAAACCGAUAUCGUCUGUGACGAGGCGAGAGUGACGGUAAUGGGUAAAGAAGCCCCGGCUAACUACGUG
rnacentral:rRNA from 1 species